CAGUCUGUCAAUCCUUGCUU
rnacentral:miRNA from 1 species